rnacentral:rRNA from 1 species
AACGCGAAGAACCUUACCAAGGCUCGCUAAUCACCGGAAACGGCCAGAGAUGGUCGCCCCCUUGUGGUCGGUGUACAGGUGGUGCAUGGCUGUCGUCAGCUCGUGUCGUGAGAUGUUGGGUUAAGUCCCGCAACGAGCGCAACCCUUGUUCUGUGUUGCCAGCAUGCCCUUCGGGGUGAUGGGGACUCACAGGAGACUGCCGGGGUCAACUCGGAGGAAGGUGGGGACGACGUCAAGUCAUCAUGCCCCUUAUGUCUUGGGCUGCACACGUGCUACAAUGGCCGGUACAAAGAGCUGCGAAACCGUGAGGUGGAGCGAAUCUCAAAAAGCCGGUCUCAGUUCGGAUUGGGGUCUGCAACUCGACCCCAUGAAGUCGGAGUUGCUAGUAAUCGCAGAUCAGCAUUGCUGCGGUGAAUACGUUCCCGGGCCUUGUACACACCG